GCUCAGGACGAACGCUGGCGGCGUGCUUAACACAUGCAAGUCGAACGGAAAGGCCCAGCUUGCUGGGUGCUCGAGUGGCGAACGGGUGAGUAACACGUGGGUGAUCUGCCCCUGACUUUGGGAUAAGCCUGGGAAACUGGGUCUAAUACCGGAUAUGACCUUCUCUCGCAUGGGAGUUGGUGGAAAGCCUUGUGCGGUUGGGGAUGGGCCCGCGGCCUAUCAGCUUGUUGGUGGGGUAAUGGCCUACCAAGGCGACGACGGGUAGCCGACCUGAGAGGGUGAUCGGCCACACUGGGACUGAGACACGGCCCAGACUCCUACGGGAGGCAGCAGUGGGGAAUAUUGCACAAUGGGCGCAAGCCUGAUGCAGCGACGCCGCGUGAGGGAUGACGGCCUUCGGGUUGUAAACCUCUUUCACCAGGGACGAAGCGCAAGUGACGGUACCUGGAGAAGAAGCACCGGCCAACUACGUGCCAGCAGCCGCGGUAAUACGUAGGGUGCGAGCGUUGUCCGGAAUUACUGGGCGUAAAGAGCUCGUAGGCGGUUUGUCGCGUCGUCUGUGAAAUUCUGCAGCUUAACUGCAGGCGUGCAGGCGAUACGGGCAGACUUGAGUACUACAGGGGAGACUGGAAUUCCUGGUGUAGCGGUGAAAUGCGCAGAUAUCAGGAGGAACACCGGUGGCGAAGGCGGGUCUCUGGGUAGUAACUGACGCUGAGA
rnacentral:rRNA from 1 species